UACAGAGGGUGCUAGCGUUAUUCGGAAUUACUGGGCGUAAAGCGCACGUAGGCGGCUUGAUAAGUCUGAUGUGAAAUCCCUGGGCUCAACCCAGGACGGUCAUUAGAUACUAUCUCGCUUGAGUACAGGAGGGGAGAGUGGAAUUCCAGGUGUAGAGGUGAAAUUCGUAGAUAUCUGGAGGAACAACAGUGGCGAAGGCGACUCUCUGGACUGUAACUGACGCUGAGGUGCGAAAGCGUGGGGAGCAAACAGG
rnacentral:rRNA from 1 species